CUAACUCUCCUAUUUACAUUAAUUCUUAUGGGGAAAUUGGAUUCGCUUAAGUGAACAUGGUUUCGCUUAAAGUUGCAUUUUUCAAGAACAUAACUACAAUGUUAAGCGAGGAGUUACUGUAUGUCUCUAUUGCUCCAUUAUACCAAGGUGAUAAUGUGUUUGAAUGUGUUUAAUAUAAGAUGUGUUUGAGUCUAUCCCUGGACAGGAAGAAACACAUUGUAAACAAGCUGUUCAACUUCACUGCAUUCAUCUGUGGAAAUAUCUUUGAAGAAAUAUAUCAGGGUGUUCCAAAUGAGUAUAAUGUGAAGAGCCCUGUAUAAGUAUGAAGACAUCGGAGCCAGAGCCAAAAAGUAUCACCUACAGUUUCCUGUGAUCAUUAUCUGCAUGGAUCAGGUAUAAGGCAGUUUUGCUGUAGCUCACGAAGAAGAGAAUCUCAGUUUUCUGACAGAGUUUUUGAAGAAGAUCCUACCUUUGGAUAAACUCUGCAACAUGUCACAGAGCCACAUGAUCUCCAGCUUUUAAACAGUCUCUUGAAGGAACCCCUUCAAUGUUGCAACCCCAAAGCAAUGCCAGUCUUCCUUCAUGGGAGGCCCUGGAGCCUCACUGCCUCCUAGACUGGAGCAUCUGGGUUUCAGAACUCCUGUUUCACAUUGUGAGCUCUGCCAGCAAGUCCAACUGAAAUUGAUUCCUGGUAGAAAACUGUACACUCUUUAGAGACUACUGAGCCUUAGCAAAUAUUUGCUGUGAUGUUUCACUCCAUAUGUUUUAUGGAAAUAUGCUAAUGAGUGUGAACAUAACAUAACUGGAAUAUGCUUCAUGCAAAAGUUCUCCUGUAAGG